UACGUAGGGGGCAAGCGUUGUCCGGAUUUAUUGGGCGUAAAGAGCGUGUAGGCGGCCAGGUAGGUCUGCUGUGAAAACUCGAGGCUUAACUUCGAGCUGUCGGUGGAAACUGUCUGGCUAGAGUCCGGAAGAGGAGAAUGGAAUUCCUGGUGUAGCGGUGAAAUGCGCAGAUAUCAGGAAGAACACCCGUGGCGAAGGCGGUUCUCUGGGACGGUACUGACGCUGAGACGCGAAAGCGUGGGGAGCGAACAGG
rnacentral:rRNA from 1 species